ACGUGAUUCAACUAUCUCCUUAACCAUAUUGAAAUAUAUUCCUUUCCAGUAAACAUUCACAGGAGACAUCCUACCCUGAAACAACGUACAGAUUUUCUUCAGUUAUAAGGAACGAGUCACCAUUGCACAAGGCUAGAAACAGUAAACAUUCACAGGAGACAUCCUACCCUGAAAGGACGUACAGAUUUUCUUCAGUUAUAAGGAACGAGUCACCAUUGCACAAGGCUAGAAACAGGUGAUCUAUAAAUUGGGAGCAAAAUGUGUUUUGAACAGUAAGUCAUGUUGCAAUACAUUUCCAAAGGCUAUGUUUUCUGAUGAUGUUGUCAAGCAUUGAGUGUGAUUUUUGGAGGGAAGAGCUCAUAUCAUGACAUGAGCAAAGAUUUGCCCACAAAGAAGUUCCUGAUCAAUGCUCCAAGGG
rnacentral:lncRNA from 1 species